rnacentral:rRNA from 1 species
GACGAACGCUGGCGGCGUGCUUAACACAUGCCAGUCGAACGGAAAGGCCCUGCUUUUGUGGGGUGCUCGAGUGGCGAACGGGUGAGUAACACGUGAGUAACCUGCACUUGACUUUGGGGUAACUUAAGGCAACUGGGGCUCAUACCGGAUAGGAGCUCCUGCUGCAUGGUGGGGGUUGGAAAGUUUCGGCGGUUGGGGAUGGACUCGCGGCUUAUCAGCUUGUUGGUGGGGUAGUGGCUUACCAAGGCUUUGACGGGUAGCCGGGCUGGGAGGGUGACCUGCCACAUUAGGACUGAGAUACGGCACAGACUCCUACGGGAGGCAGCAGUGGGGAAUAUUGCACAAUGGGCGGAAGCCUGAUGUAGCAACGCCGCGUGCGGGAAGACGGCCAUCGGGUUGUAAACCGCUGUCGCCUGUGACGAAGCGUGAGUGACGGUAAUGGGUAAAGAAGCUCCGGCUAACUACGUG